GAUGAACGCUGGCGGCGUGCCUAAUACAUGCAAGUCGAACGAACAGACGAGUACCUUGCUCCUCGGACGGUAACGGCGGACGUGUGAGUAACACAUGGAGAACCUACCUAUAAGACUAGGAUAACUUCGUGAAACCGGAGCUAAUACCGUAUAAUAUAUGGAACCGCAGGGUUCAAUAGUGAAGGACGGUGUUGCUGUCACUGAUAGAUGGAUGCGCGCCGCAUUAGCUAGUUGGUAAGGUAACGGCUUACCAUGGCAACGAUGCGUAGCCGACCUGAGAGGGUGAAGCGCGACACUGGGACUGAGCGACGGUCUAGACUCCUACGGGAGGCAGAAGUAGGGAAUCUUGCGAACUGGGCGAAAGACUGACGGAGCAACGCAGCGUGAGUGCUGAAGGUCUUCGGAUCGUAUAACUCUGUUAUUAGGGAAGACCACAUGUGUAAGUAACUAUGCACGUCUUGACGGUACCUACUCAGAAAGCAACGGCUAACUACGUG
rnacentral:rRNA from 1 species